AGAGUUUGAUCCUGGCUCAGGACGAACGCUGGCGGCGUGCCUAAUACAUGCAAGUCGAACGAAUCAAGUUGGGAGCUUGCUCCUAACUUGGUUAGUGGCGGACGGGUGAGUAACACGUAGGCAACCUGCCCUCAAGAUCGGGAUAACAUUCGGAAACGAAUGCUAAGACCGGAUACACAAUAUUGCCGCAUGGUGAGAUU
rnacentral:rRNA from 1 species